rnacentral:rRNA from 1 species
AUUGAACGCUGGCGGCAGGCCUAACACAUGCAAGUCGAACGGUAACAGGAAACAGCUUGCUGUUUCGCGGACGAGUGGCGGACGGGUGAGUGAUGUCGGGGAAACUGCCUGAUGGAGGGGGAUAACUACUGAAAACGGUAGCUAAUACCGCAUAACGUUGCAAGACCAAAGAGGGGGACCUUCGCGGCGCUUGCCAUCGGAUGUCCCCAGAUGGGAUUAGCUUGUUGGUGGGGUAACGGCUCACCAAGGCGACGAUCCCUAGCUGGUCUGAGAGGAGGACCAGCCACACUGGAACUGAGACACGGUCCAGACUCCUACGGGAGGCAGCAGUGGGGAAUAUUGCACAAUGGGCGCAAGCCUGAUGCAGCCAUGCCGCGUGUAUGAAGAAGGCCUUCGGGUUGUAAAGUACUUUCAGCGGGGAGGAAGGGAGUAAAGUUAAUACCUUUACUCAUUGACGUUACCCGCAGAUGAAGCACCGGCUAACUCCGUGCCAGCCGCCGCAGUAA